rnacentral:rRNA from 1 species
UUGUGAGCUCGAUGAGUAGGGCGGGACACGUGGUAUCCUGUCUGAAUAUGGGGGGACCAUCCUCCAAGGCUAAAUACUCCUGACUGACCGAUAGUGAACCAGUACCGUGAGGGAAAGGCGAAAAGAACCCCGGCGAGGGGAGUGAAAAAGAACCUGAAACCGUGUACGUACAAGCAGUGGGAGCCUCUUUUAUGGGGUGACUGCGUACCUUUUGUAUAAUGGGUCAGCGACUUAUAUUCUGUAGCAAGGUUAACCGAAUAGGGGAGCCGAAGGGAAACCGAGUCUUAACUGGGCGUUAAGUUGCAGGGUAUAGACCCGAAACCCGGUGAUCUAGCCAUGGGCAGGUUGAAGGUUGGGUAACACUAACUGGAGGACCGAACCGACUAAUGUUGAAAAAUUAGCGGAUGACUUGUGGCUGGGGGUGAAAGGCCAAUCAAACCGGGAGAUAGCUGGUUCUCCCCGAAAGCUAUUUAGGUAGCGCCUCGUGAAUUCAUCUCCGGGGGUAGAGCACUGUUUCGGCAAGGGGGUCAUCCCGACUUACCAACCCGAUGCAAACUGCGAAUACCGGAGAAUGUUAUCACGGGAGACACACGGCGGGUGCUAACGUCCGUCGUGAAGAGGGAAACAACCCAGACCGCCAGCUAAGGUCCCAAAGUCAUGGUUAAGUGGGAAACGAUGUGGGAAGGCCCAGACAGCCAGGAUGUUGGCUUAGAAGCAGCCAUCAUUUAAAGAAAGCGUAAUAGCUCACUGGUCGAGUCGGCCUGCGCGGAAGAUGUAACGGGGCUAAACCAUGCACCGAAGCUGCGGCAGCGACGCUUAUGCGUUGUUGGGUAGGGGAGCGUUCUGUAAGCCUGUGAAGGUGUGCUGUGAGGCAUGCUGGAGGUAUCAGAAGUGCGAAUGCUGACAUAAGUAACGAUAAAGCGGGUGAAAAGCCCGCUCGCCGGAAGACCAAGGGUUCCUGUCCAACGUUAAUCGGGGCAGGGUGAGUCGACCCCUAAGGCGAGGCCGAAAGGCGUAGUCGAUGGGAAACAGGUUAAUAUUCCUGUACUUGGUGUUACUGCGAAGGGGGGACGGAGAAGGCUAUGUUGGCCGGGCGACGGUUGUCCCGGUUUAAG